UUUAUUUAUUAAAAAGGAAAGACAAUUCCUAAUACAUAUUUGUAGUAAUUCAAAGGCACUUUAUAUUCAUAUGCACAUUGGAAAAAUUUAAUAAAGGCUGUAACUGAAUAUCUGCACAUGACACAAACCAUUUUUGUUUUGAAGAAUAAGUUAUUCCUUUGUCUCCAUUUGGCCUCAAAGAAGAGUCAUAAAAAGGACUUCCUCCCAUGGAAAUACGUUAACGAUCAGAGCGGAUUGCCGAAGAAUGAAUUUGUGACAUGUAAUUGGUUACUGUUUGGGGGCAUUAAAGGUUGUAGGACUGAAAGAUUGUCUAACAAGUUAGAAGGAAUUGGUGCUACAAAAACAAUUGAUGCUUUUAAUGUCUUCACCUUGAGGAAUUAUGCAGUUAAUUUUGCCCCUGAGAGUGGGAGGCAAUUGGAAAUUAGUUUGGAAGCCACUGGAAACAACAAAUUAUCUGGAGUGGCGUCCCUCCUAGAUUUGGUUUGCUCAUCAUACCGGUAGACUUUAGAACGCUACUUUCUACAAUUGGUGAAGGUGUUCUUAAUUAAUAGUGUAAUUAAUAUGGUUUUUGU